UACGAAGGGUGCAAACGUUGCUCGGAAUCACUGGGCGUAAAGGGUGCGUAGGCGGGUCUUUAAGUCAGGGGUGAAAUCCUGGAGCUCAACUCCAGAACUGCCUUUGAUACUGAAGAUCUUGAGUUCGGGAGAGGUGAGUGGAACUGCGAGUGUAGAGGUGAAAUUCGUAGAUAUUCGGAAGAACACCAGUGGCGAAGGCGACUUACUGGACACAUAUUGACGCUGAGGUGCGAAAGCGUGGGGAGCAAACAGG
rnacentral:rRNA from 1 species